GAUGAACGCUGGCGGCGUGCCUAAUACAUGCAAGUCGAGCGAAUAGACGAGGAGCUUGCUCCUCUGACGUUAGCGGCGGACGGGUGAGUAACACGUGGAUAACCUACCUAUAAGACUGGGAUAACUUCGGGAAACCGGAGCUAAUACCGGAUAAUAUAUUGAACCGCAUGGUUCAAUAGUGAAAGACGGUUUUGCUGUCACUUAUAGAUGGAUCCGCGCCGCAUUAGCUAGUUGGUAAGGUAACGGCUUACCAAGGCAACGAUGCGUAGCCGACCUGAGAGGGUGAUCGGCCACACUGGAACUGAGACACGGUCCAGACUCCUACGGGAGGCAGCAGUAGGGAAUCUUCCGCAAUGGGCGAAAGCCUGACGGAGCAACGCCGCGUGAGUGAUGAAGGUCUUCGGAUCGUAAAACUCUGUUAUUAGGGAAGAACAAAUGUGUAAGUAACUAUGCACGUCUUGACGGUACCUAAUCAGAAAGCCACGGCUAACUACGU
rnacentral:rRNA from 1 species